AACGAACGCUGGCGGCAUGCCUAACACAUGCAAGUCGAACGAAACCUUCCGGGCUAGGUGCGCACGGGUGCGGAACCCGUGGGAACCUGCCCUUAGGUUCGGAAUAAAUCCCCGAAAGGGGUGCUAAUACCGGUUAAUGUCUUCCGACCAAAGAUUUAUCGCCUUUGGAUGGGCCCGCGUUGGAUUUGCUAGUUGGUAGGGUAAAAGCCUACCAAGGCGACGAUCCAUAGCUGGUCUGAGAGGAUGAUCAGCCACACUGGGACUGAGACACGGCCCAGACUCCUACGGGAGGCAGCAGUGGGGAAUAUUGGACAAUGGGCGAAAGCCUGAUCCAGCAAUGCCGCGUGAGUGAUGAAGGCCUUAGGGUUGUAAAGCUCUUUUACCCGGGAUGAUAAUGACAGUACCGGGAGAAUAAGCUCCGGCUAACUCCGUG
rnacentral:rRNA from 1 species